ACUUUUUGGAGAGGGUCCUGCUGAAAGAAGAGAAAGGUUAAGAAAUAUCCUCUCAGUUGUCGGUACUGAUGCCUUGAAAAAGACCAAAAAGGAUGAUGAGAAGUCUAAAAAGUCCAAAGAAGAGGUAGAACAUGUCUUUAACUUCACAGUAUAAACAUGAAGGAAAUGAGGGGAUAGGUCUCUCGUUUUCUGCUUUCAAUGGUUUGUUUUGCUGAGAUGUUGGGGGAAAUGUUUUUGAAGGCUCUACCAUUCAAGAAGAGUUGCUGGCAGUAGUUUUGGUUCCUUUGUAAGUAUGAAUGGAGCUAAGUGAGUUUUCCAGUCAGGAAAGAAUCAUGGCAUUCCUGGUAUAACCAUGUAGUUACAUAUCAUAGAAAAAAAUUCAGUAGAAAGUCCUCUGCCUGAUUUCAUCCUAUUACCGAAUGAAUUCACCUUCCUUCUGGGCAGUUAAAAUGGAGAAAUGACAGUUAUAAGAGGAGUAGAAUGCUUCAGAUUUGACCUUUCUGCUCUUAAUUUGCCUUUCAGUAUCAGCAAACCUGGUAUCAUGAAGGACCAAAUAGCUUGAAGGUG
rnacentral:lncRNA from 1 species